AUACGUAGAGGGCGAGCGUUGUCCGGAAUCACUGGGCGUAAAGGGUACGCAGGCGGAAAUACAAGUCAAAUGUGAAAGGUACCGGCUCAACCGGUGAAAUGCAUUUGAAACUGUAUAUCUUGAGUAUAGGAGAGGAGAGCGGAAUUCCUGGUGUAGCGGUGGAAUGCGUAGAUAUCAGGAAGAACACCAGUGGCGAAGGCGGCUCUCUGGCCUACAACUGACGCUCAUGUACGAAAGCUGGGGGAGCGAACAGGAUUAGAUACCCUGGUAGUCCCAGCCAUAAACGAUGAACACUAGGUGUGGGAGGUAUCGACCCCUCCCGUGCCGCAGCUAACGCAUUAAGUGUUCCGCCUGGGGAGUACGGCCGCAAGGCUAAA
rnacentral:rRNA from 1 species